UGGCCAAACAGGUCCCAGGUGAUCUGAACAA
rnacentral:piRNA from 1 species